UACGUAGGUGGCAAGCGUUACUCGGAAUCACUAGCGUAAAGCGCAGGUAGGUGGCUAGAUAAGUUUCCUGUGAAAGCUCCCGGCUUAACUGGGAGAGGCCAAGGAAUACUGUCUGGCUUGAGUAUGGUAGGGGUAACUGGAAUUCCCGGUGUAGCGGUGAAAUGCGUAGAUAUCAGGAGGAACACCUGUGGCGAAAGCGGCUCACUGGACCACAACUGACGCUGAGGCGCGAAAGCUAGGGGGAGCAAACAGG
rnacentral:rRNA from 1 species